rnacentral:rRNA from 1 species
GACGAACGCUGGCGGCGUGCUUAACACAUGCAAGUCGAACGCUGAAGCUCAGCUUUUGUUGGGUGGAUGAGUGGCGAACGGGUGAGUAACACGUGAGUAACCUGCCCCCUUCUUUGGGAUAACGCCCGGAAACGGGUGCUAAUACUGGAUAUUCACUGGUCUUCGCAUGGGGGUUGGUGGAAAGGGUUUUUCUGGUGGGGGAUGGGCUCGCGGCCUAUCAGCUUGUUGGUGGGGUGAUGGCCUACCAAGGCUUUGACGGGUAGCCGGCCGGAGAGGGUGACCGGUCACAUUGGGACUGAGAUACGGCCCAGACUCCUACGGGAGGCAGCAGUGGGGAAUAUUGCACAAUGGGCGCAAGCCUGAUGCAGCGACGCCGCGUGAGGGAUGGAGGCCUUCGGGUUGUGAACCUCUUUCGCUCAUGGUCAAGCCGCAACAAUGGUUGUGGUGAGGGUAGUGGGUAAAGAAGCGCCGGCUAACUACGUG